GUGCCAGCCGCCGCGGUAAUACGUAGGCGUCAAGCGUUGUCCGGAUUUAUUGGGCGUAAAGCGAGCGCAGGCGGUUUCUUAAGUCUGAUGUGAAAGCCCCCGGCUCAACCGGGGAGGGUCAUUGGAAACUGGGAGACUUGAGUGCAGAAGAGGAGAGUGGAAUUCCAUGUGUAGCGGUGAAAUGCGUAGAUAUAUGGAGGAACACCAGUGGCGAAGGCGGCUCUCUGGUCUGUAACUGACGCUGAGGCUCGAAAGCGUGGGGAGCGAACAGGAUUAGAUACCCUGGUAGUCCACGCCGUAAACGAUGAGUGCUAAGUGUUGGAGGGUUUCCGCCCUUCAGUGCUGCAGCAAACGCAUUAAGCACUCCGCCUGGGGAGUACGACCGCAAGGUUGAAACUCAAAGGAAUUGACGGGGGCCCGCACAAGCGGUGGAGCAUGUGGUUUAAUUCGAAGCAACGCGAAGAACCUUACCAGGUCUUGACAUCCUUUGACCACUCUAGAGAUAGAGCUUCCCCUUCGGGGGCAAAGUGACAGGUGGUGCAUGGUUGUCGUCAGCUCGUGUCGUGAGAUGUUGGGUUAAGUCCCGCAACGAGCGCAACCCUUAUUGUUAGUUGCCAUCAUUUAGUUGGGCACUCUAGCGAGACUGCCGGUGAC
rnacentral:rRNA from 1 species